rnacentral:rRNA from 1 species
UACAGAGGGUGCAGGCGUUAAUCGGAAUUACUGGGCGUAAAGCGUGCGUAGACGGUAGCGUAAGUCGGGUGUGAAAGCCCCGGGCUCAACCUGGGAAUUGCAUUCGAGACUGCUCUGCUAGGGUGCGGAAGAGGGAAGCGGAAUUUCCGGUGUAGCGGUGAAAUGCGUAGAUAUCGGAAGGAACACCAGUGGCGAAAGCGGCUUCCUGGUCCAGCACCGACGUUCAGGCACGAAAGCGUGGGGAGCAAACAGG